AACGAACGCUGGCGGCAUGCCUAACACAUGCAAGUCGAACGAGACCUCCGGGUCUUGUGGCGCACGGCUGCGUAACGCGUGGGAACCUGCCCUUAGGUUCGGAAUAACUCCCCGAAAGGGGUGCUAAUACCGGAUAAGGUCUUAGGACCAAAGAUUUAUUGCCUUUGGAUGGGCCCGCGUUGGAUUAGCUAGUUGGUAGGGUAAAAGCCUACCAAGGCGACGAUCCAUAGCUGGUCUGAGAGGAUGAUCAGCCACACUGGGACUGAGACACGGCCCAGACUCCUACGGGAGGCAGGAGUGGGGAAUAUUGGACAAUGGGCGAAAGCCUGAUCCAGCAAUGCCGCGUAAGUGAUGAAGGCCUUAGGGUUGUAAAGCUCUUUUACCCGGGAUGAUAAUGACGGUACCGGGAGAAUAAGCUCCGGCUAACUCCGUG
rnacentral:rRNA from 1 species